GCAAGUCGAGGGGUAACAGAGGUAGCUUGCUAUUUGCUGACGACCGGCGCACGGGUGCGUAACGCGUAUACAAUCUACCUUAUACUGGGGAAUAGCCUUUGGAAACGAAGAUUAAUGCCCCAUAGUAUUAUUGAAUGGCAUCGGUUUAAUAAUUAAAGUUUCGGCGGUAAAAGAUGAGUAUGCGUUCUAUUAGCUAGAUGGUAAGGUAACGGCUUACCAUGGCUACGAUAGAUAGGGGUCCUGAGAGGGAGAUC
rnacentral:rRNA from 1 species